rnacentral:rRNA from 1 species
GACGAAGGUGGCGAGCGUUGUUCGGAAUCAUUGGGCUUAAAGAGUACGUAGGCGGCCUGUUAAGCACUUUGUGAAAUCCCUCGGCUCAACCGAGGAAUUGCUGGGUGUACUGGCAGGCUUGAGGCAAGUAGGGGCGCAUGGAACUCUUGGUGGAGCGGUGAAAUGCGUAGAUAUCAAGAGGAACGCCGGUGGCGAAAGCGAUGCGCUGGGCUUGUCCUGACGCUGAGGUACGAAAGCCAGGGGAGCAAACGGG